rnacentral:rRNA from 1 species
UCUUAGUGGCGAACGGGUGAGUAACGCGUGAGUAACCUGCCCUAGAUGGGGGACAACAGUUGGAAACGACUGCUAAUACCGCAUAAGCCCACGGUACCGCAUGGUACUGAGGGAAAAGGAUUUAUUCGCUUUAGGAUGGACUCGCGUCCAAUUAGCUAGUUGGUGAGGUAACGGCCCACCAAGGCGACGAUUGGUAGCCGGACUGAGAGGUUGAACGGCCACAUUGGGACUGAGACACGGCCCAG